CUAGGUCACUGGCCUCUUUAAGACAUUUCACUCCCAUGAAAGAGAUCACUUUAGUCAGGUGCUCCUCACACAGCAAGUCGUCUGACGAUCGAUUCACAGCAAAAGCCUUUUUGGAUGGUAUCUUGAUAAGAAAACCCAGACAGGAUGGAGUUCUGGUGAGCGUUAUCUCAAUCUUUCGCCUAUAUGUCGAAAGUGAUGGUUCUGCGUGCCGCAGGUGAGUAGCGAUAAGGCUCGUUAGCCACCGGACCAAAACCAACGUGUCCCAACAGGCUGCUGGCAGCGAAAGAAUUGAAAGUUAACAUGCUUGACCUUCAAGCUUGCACUGGAAAGAAUGAGACAUUCAGUUAAAAGCUCUUCCUCCGCCUCAUGUUAGGCAGCUCACUCCAGUGCUCCCGCACGCAGAUGACUGAGCUGCUGAAGGGGUUCUUCGGGAUUCAGAAAA